rnacentral:rRNA from 1 species
GUGGGGAAUAUUGGGCAAUGGGCGAAAGCCUGAUCCAGCCAUGCCGCGUGUGUGAAGAAGGUCUUCGGAUUGUAAAGCACUUUAAGUUGGGAGGAAGGGCAGUAAGUUAAUACCUUGCUGUUUUGACGUUACCGACAGAAUAAGCACCGGCUAACUUCGUGCCAGCAGCCGCGGUAAUACGAAGGGUGCAAGCGUUAAUCGGAAUUACUGGGCGUAAAGCGCGCGUAGGUGGUUUUGUAAGUUGGAGGUGAAAUCCCCGGGCUCAACCUGGGAACUGCCUCCAAAACUGCAUGACUAGAGUACGGUAGAGGGUAGUGGAAUUUCCUGUGUAGCGGUGAAAUGCGUAGAUAUAGGAAGGAACACCAGUGGCGAAGGCGACUACCUGGACUGAUACUGACACUGAGGUGCGAAAGCGUGGGGAGCAAACAGGAUUAGAUACCCCAGUAGUCC